rnacentral:rRNA from 1 species
UACGGGGGGGUGCGAGCGUUGUCCGGAAUCACUGGGCGUAAAGGGCGCGUAGGUGGUUUGAUAAGGGUGUGGUGAAAGCCCGGGGCUCAACCCCGGGUCUGCCGUGCCGACUGUCAAACUCGAGGGCUGUAGAGGCAGACGGAAUUCCGGGUGUAGCGGUGGAAUGCGUGAGAGAUCCGGAGGAAGACCGGUGGCGAAGGCGGUCUGCUGGGCAGUUUCUGACACUUGAUGCGCGACAGCGUGGGGAGCAAACAGGAGUAG